rnacentral:rRNA from 1 species
CGCGUAGGCGGUGCGGUAAGUCACCUGUGAAACCUCCGGGCUCAACUCGGAGCCUGCAGGCGAAACUGCCGUGCUGGAGUGUGGGAGGGGUGCGUGGAAUUCCCGGUGUAGCAGUGAAAUGCGUAGAGAUCGGGAGGAACACCUGUGGCGAAAGCGGCGCACUGGACCACAACUGACGCUGAGGCGCGAAAGCUAGGGGAGCAAACAGGAUUAGAUACCCUGGUAGUUCUAGCCCUAAACGAUGGAUGCUUGGUGUAGCCGGUACCCAAUCCGGCUGUGCCGCAGCUAACGCGAUAAGCAUCCCGCCUGGGGAGUACGGUCGCAAGGCUGAA